UAUUAAGUGGCUGAACCUUAAGCACUAGACUUUUAAUCUAGAAAAUGAUUUUUUUAAAUCCUUAAUAU
rnacentral:tRNA from 1 species